rnacentral:lncRNA from 1 species
UGGGAACGGGAAAAGGCGGACCACGUGACACCUCGGGCUUGUGGCGCUCCGGGCUUGCUAGGCUCACUCCUAACUUGCCUCGGCGAGUGUCACUGAGUGUUGCCUGUUUGGACUCUGAACUAGACAGUUCUAGAUCUGAGACUCACUGUGUAGCACAGAUUGGCCUCAGAACUGUACCUCAAAACCAGGAACCUUAUGCUGCUGCCUUCUGAGGUCUGAGGUUAUAGGAGUGUAUCAUCACUCCUGACUUGGAG